ACCUGUUAAAUUGGAGGACAACAAAAACCUAAAUAACUAAAAAAAAAAACCCUCCAACUAAAUAAGAGCUUCUCACUGGCACUGAAAUUGGUUAUCAGUAGGGAGUAUAGUAUCUGCUAUUUCAGGCUGUUCUAAACUGAAAUGUUAUAUGAGCCAGAAUCAAUGGCAUAGGCGGGUUGCAUGACUUUUUCAGUCUUGUUUAAGGCUUUCCUCAUCAAAACCAUCAUGCCACUUGGUAAGAAGGUUUGGUAUAGAUUGUAUUGUAUGUAACAUCCCCAUCACUCACGCUUCACUGUGGGAAACGAGACAGAGGAAUCCACUAAGGACUGCAGGAGGUACUUUUUCAUGUUUUAGAUUGACUGCAAACAAAGUGCAAUUUUGGAUGUUUGGGAGCAGUAAGCUCUGAAGCCUUGUUUCUAAGCAUUUGAGACAUUCUCUGAUGGUGUUCUGAAGUAAAAGAAGAAAAAGGGAAAAGGUUGAUCCUGCCUCUUUGGUUCCAUCAUUCUGUCCUUAGCAGGAUGUAAGGACAGGGCUUAGGGCUUUCCGGCACACACUCUGUUACAGGUAAUAGAGUCAGGAGAAUCUAUUCAGAGGAUGUAAGAGUCUAGUUGCAAUAACACAAAGUUUACAGCUGCAAAACUUCAGUAAAGAGCAGACUGAACUGGGUUGCAGAGCUCCAUACCUCUCCAGCUAGGCUGUUAAUACACAAGCUAGCUAAAUGGCUUUAGGACAGACAGUGUAAUAAAAAAUAGAUGUUCUUUAUCCUCCUCAGUUUGAGAUGAAGAAGCAAAGUAACUGCUCUCCUCAAACAAUAGAUGUUUCUAAAACACAGUUCUAGAAGAUUUGUAGCAGAACUGUUUGUCAGCUGUAGGUUUCAGUGCACAACUAGUCACAGGCCUUAAAACUUUAUAUUUAGUGAUUUUAGAUCUCCAGUUUUGAGAUAUCUGACAAUUACACCUAGACCCAGAAUUGCUCUCUGUAAAUAGACAGAAUGCACUGUCAAACUGCUGCAGUGAGAUCCCAUUUGCAGUGCUGCUUCUUAACCUGUAUUUCUCACCUUCAUCUGUCUUCACCAUAAAUGAGACAUAUCUGUAGACUUCUGCUGCCAGAUGACAUGGUAUCAUAGCGUUGAAUGUAGAAAUGGCAAAGAGAAUCCUGGACUACACAAGAUGGCUGUUGUGCUACAGUGCAAACACUGUGCUUUGAGAAGUAAGAUCUGCCUGAUUGACAAGCAUCUGGACCUGGAUAGAGCUAACAUCUGGGAUGUUAAAACUGCAACAUGUGAAGCAACUGUGUCUUUUGGCAAGGGCGGCAGAGUAUGAAGGAGACAGACCACAGCACUGGAAACAGUCUAAUUGCAACAUAAGCAAAAGAAAACAAAGUUAACCCUCAAAAGCCAAAGUUAUCCCUAAAGCAAUAAACUGAUGUGGAAUUGUCCAGUUGAUGUUAAGGUAGCUCCUGCUUUUUUUGGAAGUACAGAAUUAAGGGGAAAAAAAAUAAUUCUGAACCUUUGGAAACUGCAGCUCAUACUUGGAAUGAAAUCCAGAAUCUUUGAGAAAAUGUUGGAGUUGCUGCUUGCUGAACAGUGGAACUCAGCAGUGUCAGAACAGUCAAGUACAAAAGUAAGAGAUCAGCUUCUUCAAGAAAGAUUCAGCACAAAGAGGUUAGGCUCCAGACCACUCACUUCUGAAGGAGUUCUUCUUUUUUACUGACAGAGACUUAACCAGAUGCUGUAAGUCAGAGGAGAGCCACAGCUGGGGAAAUCCAAGAACACAAACCAAGAAAAACCCACCCUGCAGCAUCAUACAGACAGAGAUGGCAAAAGGAUUCAUCACUUCAAGCUCCAUUCAUUUUUAAUUCAUACCAUGCUCUUACGAAGCGUACAGAGUGCAAUCAAGGGUGCAGAAUUUGUCUGGAAAUCAUAUUUAACCUCAAGAAGAGCAGACAUACCCCAGAGAAAAAUGUUAAACCCUCCAACAGUAUUGCAGUGAUUAUUAUUUCAUAGAAAGAAAGGAGAUUUAUACAGUUCCCAUGGUGAAGAAAGGCACUUUAUGACUUCUCUGGCAUUCCAUUUUCUAUGAGCAGCUCAAUGGCUAGAGAAAGCAAUGUGUAUGACUAGGUAGAAUAAAAGUACGUCUGUGUAACCCACCAGAA